rnacentral:rRNA from 1 species
UUAACGGAGAGUUUGAUUCUGGCUCAGAACGAACGCUGGCGGCGUGGAUAAGACAUGCAAGUCGGACGGGAUUACUUUUGGUAGCAAUACCGAAAGUGAUUCAGUGGCGAACGGGUGCGUAACACGUGGGCAAUCUACCGAGAAGUGGGGGAUAGCUCGCCGAAAGGCGAAUUAAUACCGCAUGUGAUCAGAGGCGACAUCGCUUCGAAAUCAAAGGUGGCGCAAGCUACCGCUUUUUGAGGAGCCCGCGGCCUAUCAGCUUGUUGGUGAGGUAACGGCUCACCAAGGCGUUGACGGGUAGCUGGUCUGAGAGGACGACCAGUCACACUGGGACUGAGACACGGCCCAGACACCUACGGGUGGCAGCAGUCGAGAAUUUUUCUCAAUGGGGGAAACCCUGAAGGAGCGACGCCGCGUGGAGGAUGAAGGUCUUCGGGUUGUAAACUCCUGUCAUUUGGGAACAAGGCUGUGCGGUUAACUGCCGCGCAGUUGAUAGUACCAGAAGAGGAAGAGACGGCUAACUCUGUGCCAGCAGCCGCGGUAAUACAGAGGUCUCAAGCGUUGUUCGGAUUCAUU